GAAGUUUGUUGGGGAAGAUAAAAGAUAAAGUUUACUGACAGUUGAAGUUUGUUGGGGAAGAUAAAAAGUAAAAUUUAUUGACAGUUGAAGUUUGUUGGGGAAGAUAAAAAGUAAAAUUUACUGACAGUUGAAGUUUGUUGGGGAAGAUAAAAAGUAAAAUUUACUGACAGUUGAAGUUUGUUGGGGAAGAUAAAAACUAAAAUUUACUGACAGUUGAAGUUUGUUGGGGAAGAUAAAAAGUAAAAUUUACUGACAGUUGAAGUUUGUUGGGGAAGAUAAAAGUAAAAUUUACUGACAGUUGAAGUUUGUUGGGGAAGAUAAAAAGUAAAAUUUACUGACAGUUGAAGUUUGUUGGGGAAGAUA